UAUGCUGUAGCAAUAUGGCAUACAGUGGCGGACGGGUGAGUACAAAAUGGGUAACGUACCUCGGACACAGGGAUAACCCCGGGAGCUUCGGCUCCCUUUGCGAAAGUGGGAUUAAUACCUGAUGACGUCUAUGGAUGGCAUCAUCCGAAGAACAAAGGCGGGGACCUUCGGGCCUGCCGGUUUGAGAUCGGCCCAUUUCCUAUCAGCUUGUUGGUGAGGUAACGGCUCACCAAGGCAACGACGGGUAGCCGGACUGAGAGGUUGUACGGCCACAUCGGGACUGAGACACUGCCCGGACAUCUACGGAUGGCUGCAGUAACGAAUAUUCCGCAAUGGGCGCAAGCCUGACGGAGCAAUGCCGCGUGGAGGACGAAUUCCUUCGGGAUGUAAACUCCUUUUGGGGUUAUGAAAUCAAGGCGGGUUAAUACCCCGCUGAGUUGAUCUAGCCCCGAAUAAGCCUCGGCUAACUCUGUGCCAGCAGCCGCGGUAAUACAGAGGAGGCAAGCGUUGUUCGGAAUCACUGGGCUUAAAGCGCGUGUAGGCGGCCAUGCAAGUACUUUGUGAAAUCCCCCGGCUCAACCGGGGAAUUGCUUGGUAUACUGCAGGGCUUGAGGCGGGUAGGGGUGCUUGGAACUCUAGGUGGAGCGGUGAAAUGCGUAGAUAUCUAGAGGAACGCCUGUGGCGAAAGCGGAGCACUGGGCCCGUCCUGACGCUAAGACGCGAAAGCGUGGGUAGCAAACGGGAUUAGAUACCCCGGUAGUCCACGCCGUAAACGAUGCGCACAAGGUUCAUUGGCCUCUGACGGCACGUGGGCCGAAACAAAAGUGUUAAGUGCGCCGCCUGGGGAGUACGGCCGCAAGGCUAAAACUCAAAGGAAUUGACGGGGGCUCACACAAGCGGUGGAGCAUGUGGCUUAAUUCGAAGCAACGCGAAGAACCUUACCCGGGUUUGACAUGCUAGGAUUAGUUCUGUGAAAGCAGAAUGACGCGGCUUGCCGUGGAACUAGCACAGGUGCUGCAUGGCUGUCGUCAGCUCGUGCCGUGAGGUGUUGGGUUAAGUCCCGCAACGAGCGCAACCCUCGUCCUUAGUUGCCACCAUUCAGUUGGGCACUCUAAGGAGACUGCCGGCGUUAAGCCGGAGGAAGGUGGGGACGACGUCAAGUCAUCAUGGCCCUUAUGUCCAGGGCCACACACGUGCUACAAUGGGCGGUACAAAGGGUCGCAAACCCGCGAGGGGGAGCCAAUCCCAAAAAGCCGCUCUCAGUUCGGAUUGGAGUCUGCAACUCGACUCCAUGAAGUUGGAAUCGCUAGUAAUCGCGGAUCAGCACGCCGCGGUGAUACGUUCCCGGGCAUGCACACACU
rnacentral:rRNA from 1 species